rnacentral:rRNA from 1 species
UCCCUGAGACUUAAAGUCUCCUGAAGGAACGUUGAAGACGACGACGUUGAUAGGUCGGGUGUGUAAGCGCAGCGAUGCGUUGAGCUAACCGAUACUAAUGAACCGUGAGGCUUAACCUUACAACGCCGAAG